UUAUGGUGCCUAUGAUUCUGAUGUCAUUGGACUCAUCUACUAUCAGGGUAUCACUCUCCUGAAAGCAGUGAGAAAUGUUAAUAGAACCAGUGUUUCUCUGCCCAACUGGUGGGAUCAAGUAACAAGCAAAAUCAUUUACUCGUCUUCCAAGGAGUGGCUGAAAUGUAAGAAGUGUUAUAAAGAAGGCAUUAAACUGAAGGCAUCCACUGAUGUGCAUCAGUAUUUAAAAUGAGAGGAAGAGGUGUCUCCAUGCUCAGUUUGUUGAAGGAUGUCCAACCUGGAAUGCUCUGAACAGGAAAGACCAGCUGAAAGAAUGGUUUAGUCUUCAUCUCUCCUGGGGCUAAAGAUGAUGAGCUCAUCAAGUCUCCGUAACAAGUGUGGAGAAUAGCCAAGAGGAAGAAAGAAUAAGCUCUGCAGACCGAAGUGAUUUGCCCAAGGUCACCAAGGGAGACCCAGGACAGCCAGGCACAGACUCCAGCCCUGCUAAUGGCGCCUCGUUUGUUCCAGGGCUGUGGUCAGUGGCUCCCACACCAGGGCCACAACUCACAUAAGGGCACAGCAGGUUGCCAGUGUAACAAAAAUCCCAUUACCUCUGACAUUCACCUUCCUGUUUUGAAAGGCAUAAGAUUAUCCUUCUGUAAGCUGAAUACUGGAAAAAGUAUGGAAAUGGCCAAGCUAGAUGAUGUUCUUUUCCCUAACAGUCCCAACCUGUGAAGCAAUUCUCCCUUCAUUUUAUUCUGUGAUAUCAUCUGCCUUCUUUUUAACCUUCUCUAAGUGAAAGCCUUAAAAAAACCUAAACAAAGUUAUCUCAUUUUGUUUAAAAUAUACAAACCUUUGAGAGAUGCAGCAGUAAGAAACAUGGAAUUUUCUGGUUAUGAUCAAAACUGAAAAUUCCUUAACAUGCUUAUGUUCAGUACCUUAUCAUUCAGCAUUAUGUUCAAAGCUAAGACACUAUUUUACUCCUCUCUGGCCACUACUGAAGUAAAUUAUUUCUAUAAGAGGAAGUUUUCUUCUGGGCAUAGAAAUGUGUUUAGUCUCUUGAGCAGCAGUUUGUACAUCUGCAAACGAAUACAGAUACCAAAUUCAUAUUUUUUCCCUUUUAUAUCCACUUUGCAUUUGUCUUUGGAAAUGCUUCUCCUUUCCAUGUAAGCCAUUUUACACAGGUCUGUGGAUACUUUAAUUUAGGUAAGUUAGACCAAGGCUAGGAAGCUGCCCUAAUAAGAUCCUAAAGAACUGGGUCCUAAUUUGCUAAUGGCUAUUUUUUUUCUUGAUUUCAUUAUUUUAUAUUACCCUCCUUACGACAGGUGAAUCUGCAGAGAGUGGAAGUCUGAACAAGAUCUGGACCAGCAUCCAAAAAUCAGAUGCUUGUCCAAAUUAUUCAGACCUCAGAAGUAUGUAAAACUGAGUGGAAUGGGGAUGAGAGCUUGUUUUCUCUCAAAAUUUCUCAUUUCACAAUUGGCCAACACAGAAAAAAGAAUGAGGAUUUUUGCUGCAUAUUGGCACUUUUAGUCUCAGCUUGACUAUAGCAAUGAUCUCUCUCCAGCCCUGCCCUGAUAAGUGCACAAUUAAGAACCUCAAAAAAGGUUUUUGAUUCUGAAAGUAGCUGUAUCCUGUGUCUCUGCUUUUUACAGAGAACUUGCUAUUGUGGCUUAAGGGGGAAGAUAUGGCUUAUGAAGUCAGUAGAGUAACAUGUUAUUCCACUGUUUUGUAGUAGGUCUUUUAGUAGUUUAACUGUUUCAAAGUGUUUAAUCUAUUUGUUCUUGCCACAUAAGUUCUUAUUACAGCUUUCCAUGCUAUUUGUUUUUUUUCCACAUAGGGUAAUCAACCCUUAAAAUAUCUAGAUAGGUGACUAGACAGCAAAAUUCACCUAUCUGAGACACUAACACAGAAAUUAGUGAAAAUCUGGUAUUUGAGACUUAAUAUUACCAACUUUUCAAAUUCUUUCCAGUGGAAGUUUUCAACGUGCAAACCCCAGAGGAUCAUACCUGACAAAUGUAUAUUCUUCUGCAAGUAGCCAUGGGGGGUGACAAAAGUGAGGAUUAUCAUGAUAAAGGGCAUGUUUUGGUGUUUCAUUAUUCACUUACUGUGGUGUAUACGUGGAAAAAGUGGAGCAAACAGGAAGAGUCUGCUAAGGGGAAGGGUUUUUUUUUUCCCCACAAAAUGCAUAUAUAUCAAUAGUAAAUGCCUACAGUGGGUCCACCAAAAAUAGGUCUCUCUGAAGGAGAGAGGAGAAACAGCUCUACAAAAUCAUUCAAAGGCAGGUUAGACAGUUGUAUUCUGUUUUAUACUUCUCUCUGUAAGUGUAUUUUACAUGGAUAUAGCCCCAUCUAUUACAUGAGCAAAGUCUAAACAGCUCUUCCAUUGACAGAUUAGGAGGAAUUUAGCCCAAUCAUUCCUCCAUAAAUGCUUUCUAUGUAGUCAUUCAAGAAGCUCUUCAGAUUCAUUCCAAAUUCAUUGGAAUAAUGAGUGUGAAGGCCUAAAUUCAUUCACUGAAUCAGCACCUGAAAACUCUUGUCUGCUAUCCCUCUUCUGAGCAAACACUCUCAGCCUCAACACCCUUGUUCUGGAUUCUUUUUUGCAGUUUGAAUGGUUUGUUACAGCAAUAAACAGGGAGUGCUUUGGAUUUCUGAUUGAGAUUGCAUUUGUUGCACAUAAUCUUUUUUAUAACACUUAUAUUUGUUAAUGAGUACAGUGGAGGAAUCUGUCAAAAUUAGUUAUGCAUUGAUGUUAAAUUCACGUUUAGAAUAAGUGUGAAUUGUGUAGCCUGGUUAAAUUAUGAAUUGACAUUUAUCAUCUGCCAUCCUAACUCUUACAUGGAACAGAAGAGAUUAAGUAGAUCCAUACUUUAGACAAGAUUAAGCAAUGUUUUUCUGUUAAUCAAGUACCUUAUGACCACCUUUUAAUAAAAAUCUUUGCUUUGAUCAGGAUACAGAGCAGCAAGCAGACUGCAGCUACCAGAGGAAAUAUGACCCUCAUCAAAGAAAAUGAGUGAGCAAACAAAAACACCAAGAGAAGAAGGGGUAUGUAUGUUUAAGGCCUUUAGUAGGUUAAGUACCUUUUCAGCAAUUUACAGUAUGGCCCAGAUGGCCCUUAAAUGAGCUACUGAAAUGAUGGCAAUCCGUAAGUCUUGAAACAUAUUUCUAAGGAGAUUAGAAAGUGUGGUUGUAGAGACCUGUAUAAUUCAGCAGGAGUCCGGGCCUGUUCAAAGGUACUAAACCAGAGCAUUGCUUAGACAUGGAAACUCUGCAAAUGAUUGUAAAAGCAGAAAGUUUUAGAAACAAAAUAUAUCUUUUAAAGCAAUAUAUGAACUGAAAAUCUGGGUAAAUAAGCCCAUUACAGGCAUUUUUUUUUAAGUUUCAUGCUUUCACAAGAGGUUGGACUAGAUGACCUCCUGAGAUUUUUUUCAAUUUAAAUUUCUCAAUGAUUUUGUGAGAUGCAUUUGGCCCCUUGGCACAGAAAGGUAAAUACUGCCAUCAAUAUUUAUAGCUCAGCAAUGUAAAUUUUCUCUAAAAUCACAUAUCAAAAUUAUAAUUUGAAGAGCUGAUAAUAAAAAGUCCUCCAUCUUCAGUAUGAGAUACACCUAAAGCGUAUUUUCUCACUUCUUCCAUAAGCUAUAGAUAAUAUUCUGCUGUCACCUCUCUGCUAUGAUACCACUUUUUAACCCCCUCAUAUUUAUGUUGGUUUUCCUGCCUAAUGUUUUGUAAGCCUCACAGCAAUGUUACAUUUAUUUAGUUUAUUUUACUUCUGCUGCCUCUGGAUUAUCAAUAGUGUUAUUAUUAUUACACAUUUCUGAUCAUAGAUAGUGUUCUGCUUCCUUCAGCCUUUUAAAGUUGCAAGGAAGUGUUUCAUCUGCAGGCACGAAGGAGCAAAAACAAAUCUUCUGUCAUUAAGGCUCUCCCAUGACCAGUUCUUCAGUGACAGUCCAGGUCUGUACAAAGAUCCAGAACACUGUACAAAGUCACAGGAGCAGCAGAACCAGCUGUGGAGAGGGGCUGGAGAGUACAGAGCUCUGCAGUCAGCUCUGGACCCUCGUCCCUCUUGGGGACUGGGUACAAAUGGGUAAGCAGCAUGAUUGUCUCUGCUUUGGCCUUGCCAAGCUGGUGUAAUUAUUGCUGGGAGCUGUUAACCAGACAGUUUAAGUUCCAGUUUAAACUGAGUCGACAUUUGUAACCAAGUAGUAAAAAACUGGCAAUUGACCAAUUCAGCUAGAGUUAGAUUGGUUAUUUAACAUUCAAUUUUUCUCUUCCUCUUAAAAUUUUUAACAAUGUAGGAGAUGCUGGGGGACUGGGACUGUGCUGAUGUUGAUUUGGAGUUCUGAGCAGGUAAUAUGUUUUGUAUGGCUAAAUGUUUGUAGUAUCAAAAACUUCCUUAAUGAUGUUUGUUUCCCUUCCACUAAUUCUGCUUCAGUUUCUGUUGCUGUAGAUUGGGAGAUCUAUCAAAAAAAUACUCAUGUGAGUUACACAGUGUUUGCAAAGGACCACAUCAAGUUUUCACAGAGAAGCAAUGUACUUUCCUCAUAACCAGUCAGUAGUAGAGCACCUGCUCUUCUUGGAAGGAAUUUCAGCAUGUGGCUGUUGCAAAUAGUAUUUUGUCAGGCUGGGCACAAGUCUACAGAUUCUGAUUUGGCAAUACUCACCGAGGUCUCCACCUGGAGAAGCCAGGCAUAGGAAACAGCAGGUCUGAAAUCCCUCCUGCUGUUGCUCAGGGGGCUGACCCUGAUGUGUGUCCUAUGGAGGGCAGGAGGCUCAGGCAACUCCACCCUGCCACUGCCACCAGGAGAGCUCUUUGCAUUUCCAGGCAGGUGAAACCUUUUAUUUUUGCCUGUUUAAGGAGAUCUUAUGUAUAGAUUUUAAUUGGGGGUGGGGAUCGUUUUGCUUUAUCUUAGGUUUUCUAUCAGAUAUUAGAAUCACAUCUUUCUUUUG